rnacentral:rRNA from 1 species
GUAAUUUGUAGAGGAUGUUUCGGGAGCGGCCCCGGUCUAAGUCUCUUGGAACAGGGCGUCAUAGAGGGUGAGAAUCCCGUAUGUGACUGGCGACCAACCCCAUGUGAAACCCCUUCGACGAGUCGAGUUGUUUGGGAAUGCAGCUCAAAAUGGGUGGUAUAUUUCAUCUAAAGCUAAAUACCGGCCAGAGACCGAUAGCGCACAAGUAGAGUGAUCGAAAGAUGAAAAGCACUUUGGAAAGAGAGUCAAACAGUACGUGAAAUUGUUGAAAGGGAAGCGCUGGCAACCAGACCUGUCCGUGGGCUUCAGCCUCCGUUCUCGGAGGUGUACUUGUCCGCGAUCAGGCCAGCAUCGGUUCGGGCGGUUGGAUAAAGGCCUUGGGAAUGUAGCUUCCCCCGGGAAGUCUUAUAGCCCUUGGCGCAAUGCGGCCAGCCCGGACCGAGGACCGCGCUCGGCUAGG